rnacentral:rRNA from 1 species
GAUGAACGCUGGCGGCGUGCCUAAUACAUGCCAGUCGAGCGAACGGACGAGAAGCUUGCUUCUCUGAUGUUAGCGGCGGACGGGUGAGUAACACGUGGAUAACCUACCUAUAAGACUGGGAUAACUUCGGGAAACCGGAGCUAAUACCGGAUAAUAUUUUGAACCGCAUGGUUCAAAAGUGAAAGACGGUAUUGCUGUCACUUAUAGAUGGAUCCGCGCUGCAUUAGCUAGUUGGUAAGGUAACGGCUUACCAAGGCAACGAUGCAUAGCCGACCUGAGAGGGUGAUCGGCCACACUGGAACUGAGACACGGUCCAGACUCCUACGGGAGGCAGCAGUAGGGAAUCUUCCGCAAUGGGCGAAAGCCUGACGGAGCAACGCCGCGUGAGUGAUGAAGGUCUUCGGAUCGUAAAACUCUGUUAUUAGGGAAGAACAUAUGUGUAAGUAACUGUGCACAUCUUGACGGUACCUAAUCAGAAAGCCACGGCUAACUACGUG